GUGACAAACCGGAGGAAGGUGGGGAUGACGUCAAGUCAUCAUGGCCCUUACGGCCUGGGCUACACACGUGCUACAAUGGUCGGUACAGAGGGUUGCCAAGCCGCGAGGUGGAGCUAAUCCCACAAAACCGAUCGUAGUCCGGAUCGCAGUCUGCAACUCGACUGCGUGAAGUCGGAAUCGCUAGUAAUCGCGAAUCAGAAUGUCGCGGUGAAUACGUUCCCGGGCCUUGUACACACCGCCCGUCACACCAUGGGAGUGGGUUGCACCAGAAGUAGCUAGUCUAACC
rnacentral:rRNA from 1 species